rnacentral:lncRNA from 1 species
GUUUUGCUCUUUCUUCAUUGUGUGUUUAUAGGUGUUUGGACCGAGUCAAGAAAUGAUGGAAGACGUGAAGGAUGAAGGAGGAAAAGAAGGAACAAAUUCUGUUGAGAAAAGGAAGGAACAAGUAGAGAUAAAGAGAGAGAGAAAGGAGCGUGUGGCAGCUCCUAAAAUCAAGGAAGAAGUGGACUAAAUCCAACAACUAUCAAACGGCCACUUCAUCCAUGAUCCAAGCCACGACUUCAAGCCUUGGGAAGCAAGAUUGAGAUGCCUAUAUAUACCAAGGAGAAGUCCCAGUUCAGAUCACGAAUUUUGAGAGAAGAUAUCUAGCUUUUGAGUGAUCUGUUUAGGAGUGCUGUUUCUCGUGUUGGGAUAACAUUAGUUAUAGCAUUCUGUGUUUUAUUGGAUUUCGGAGUGUAGCUCUUGAAUCCAGUUUUGUUUAUUAGUGAGAGUGUAUGGUGUUCAAUACCUAGUCUUUGUAAAGGUAUUGAACGUGAGUGUCAUUCUCCGUUUAGUAAUUUCGCCAUAAGGCAUUCUUCAAGUUAUUUAUAACUUGAAGAAAUUUUUCCAAAGUUUGGUGUUCGUUUAUUUCCGCUGCAUUUUUACUCUGUGUGUGGUGUGUUACUUUAACACAAGGUUUUCAGUUAGUUCGUGUGGAGCAACACUUUCAAUUGGCGUCAGAGCCAACACUCGAUACACUGAGUGUGAUCCUUGGUGUUGUUACAACAAUUCGUCACAGUUGUUACAACAGUUGUUCCACAUGGAGCCGUUUGGUGUUAUGCGUCCUCCUAUCCUUGAUGGUGCAAACUACUCGGCCUGGAGGAUAAGAAUCCGACAGUACAUCAAGGCUAUGACCUUAAAGCCUGGCACUGCGUCGAAGAAGGGUGGUCUGCCCCCAAGACCACUGAUGCCCAUGGUGAUGUGAUCUUGACACCACCUGCUCAAUGGAGUCGAACUGAGUUCGAGGAGGCAAAUUUCAACGAAAAGGCUAUGCAUGCUAUCUAUUCUUUCGUGGACAUGAACAUGUUCAAUCUCAUCAAGAAUAGCACGUCGGCCAAGGAACAAUGGGAAUACUCCAAGACACUGCGAGGGCGACACAAGUGUCAAAGAAACAAGGCUGGACUCCUGACCACUAAGUUCGAAAAAUGAAAUGGAUGAAGGGAAGACAUCAAGAGUAUUCCAAGAGGAUACUCAGUGUGGCUAAUGAAUGUCGUGAGCUCGGAGAUCCAAUCAGCAAUCGGGUGCUUGUUCCAAAGCAUACGAACGCUCCCACCGCGUUUUGAAAUGAAGAUUACUGCCAUCGAAACAAGUCAUAAUGUUGCAGCCUGGAGUUCGUGGAUUUGAUGAACACCUCCGGACCUAUGAGAUGACCCUGGAAGAAAGAGGAUUGCUGCACAAGAAGAAGGCUGUUGCGUUCAAUGCCGAUGCCAUCUACGACAACACCAGCAGCCACACCCUUCAGAUACGUGAUCUAGAGGAUUCUGAAGAAUUGGAGGAAAUUCACGAAGGAGAUGGUGUUGCACUCAUCACAAGGAAGUUCAACAAUAUGGUGAGAAAACUUAGACGGACAAAGAGAAUGAUCGGAAGGAAACUCACCAAGGCAUGAUUCCGUACCACCAAGAGGAAUGACUUCACACCCCCACGACCAAUGAGGAAAGUUGCCUCAACGACUGAAACCUUCAGGUAUGAUCCAAAUUUCAUCAAUAAUGUUCAAUGUCGUGAGUGCAAGGGGUUUGGUCACUAUGCGAACCAGUGUGCGAACACCCUUCGAAAACGAGGCAAAUCAUAUUGGGUGUCUUGGAGUGAUGAUGAGGCUGAAUUUUUCGAUGGUUCGGAAAGCUCAAAGGAAGAAAAAGAAGAUGAUGAUGAUCCCGGUCUGUCAGCUUUCCAUGUCAAGUUUGGAAAAACCUUGUCCGACGAUGAGGAUGAUGAAGGAGACCAGCUGUUAAACAGGUAUGACACAGGGUUCUUUCCAAAUUGUCUGUGCUUUAACGCAUGUGUAGGUAACACAGAGGAAAGCAACGAAGAGACCAUGCUGGUUGUCAUGGAACUUAAAAAAUUCUAUGACGAACUACUGGGAAAAUGGAAAAAGCAAGGAGAAGAGCUUGAAGCAACAAAGGAGGAGAAUGUCAAGCUAAAAAGAUCGUUGGCAAAGCUUGAAGCCUCAAUCACACAAAAAGAAGUCAAGCUUGAGCAUGUUACAAGCCAGCUGGAGGAAGCUCAAAGUACCAUUGCCAAAUGGAAUUCAAGUCGGCAUAGGCUUGAUGAUUUUGUGUCUGCAGGAACUACGGACACCACUGGACUUGGAUACACUGCUGCACCCGCUGCUGCACCCACACCUGGAAAGACAAAGGUAAAAUCUACUCAUGGAAAGGAGUUUGUCGUGGAAGGAACUUCAGUUGGACAGACACGACCACAAAGAAAGAGGUAUAUGUGUCAUUAUUGUCAUCAAAUUGGCCACAUUCGACCGUUCUGUUUCAGGAAGUUCAAUGACGAGAAGAAGAUCUUUGUCAACUCAAAGAAAACAAGAGCCAAAGGGAAGAAAAAUCCACCACAAGCCCACAAGAAAGUCUGGAAGUGGGUCAGAAAAGAUGAACUGAAAUGUAAUGUUGUGUUCACAGCACUGAAAACUAACAUCUCAAGUUCAUGGUAUUUCGACAGUGGAUGUUCUCGUCACAUGACAGGUGACAAUGCUUACCUUAAUAACUAUCAGGUAUGUGAUGGUGGGUUUGUGUCUUUUGGUGGUGGUUCGAAGGGUAAGAUCAUUGGUAAAGGCACCUUAAAUGUUCCCGGCUUACCUUGUUUGAAAAAUGUUUUUCAUGUUAAAGGUCUUAUGGCAAAUUUGAUUAGUAUUAGUCAACUAUGCGAUGAGAAUUUGCAUGUUAAGUUUAACAAGGACUCUUGUGAGGUUUUUGAUACUCAAAAUUGUUGUGUAAUGAGAGGGCAAAGAUCUAGUGAUAACUGUUACCUUGUCGAUGAUCCUAAGUGCAAUAAGGCCCAAAUUGAUGAAAGCAUGUUGUGGCAUCAAAAGUUAGGGCACACAAAUUUUAAGAAUCUUGACAGGUUGUCCAAGUUGGAAGCAGUCCGAGGUCUCCCAAAAAUCACGCAAAAGGAAAAGGAAGUUUGUGAGAGUUGUCAAAAAGGGAAGCAGAUCCAUGCCACCCAUCGUGCUACCCAACAAGCUGAACAACAUUUUGGUACGACCCGAUGUUUUGAACUGGUUCACAUGGAUUUGGUAGGACCAGUUGGUGUUGAAAGUAUUGGAGGUAAACGAUAUGUGUAUGUCUUAGUGGAUGAUUUUUCAAGAUAUACGUGGACCUUUUUCUUACGUGAAAAAUCUGAAACUAUUGAUGUUUUCAAAACACUCUUUGCCCGGUUUACUAACAUGUUUGGUGCGAGAAUAGCAAGAAUAAGGUCUGACCAUGGACGUGAGUUCGAGAAUGCGGCUUUCACAAAUUUUUGUGAAAAGAAAGGAAUUUUUCAAGAAUUCUCAGCCCCCAAGACGCCACAGCAGAACGGAGUUGUGGAACGAAAGAACCGAACCCUGGUGGAGAUGGCAAGAGUGAUGUUGGCUUCAAAGAAAUUGGCACAACGCUUCUGGGCAGAAGCUGUGAACACCGCAUGCCAUAUCAACAAUCGAGUCAACAUCAGACCUGGUACGUUCAAAACUCCAUAUGAAAUUCUGCGUGGUAAGAAGCCAAAUCUCAAAUACUUUCAUGUCUUUGGGUGUGUGUGUCAUAUACUGAAUGACAGAGAAUAUCUCACAAAGUUUGAUGAAAAAAGUGACAAAGGUAUCUUUUUGGGAUAUUCAUUGAAUAGUCAAGCCUAUCGAGUCUUUAACUUGAGAAGCCAAACUAUUCAAGAAUCUGUAAAUGUGGUAUUUGAUGAUGUGAGGAGUAUUGCAGAUGAGAAUAAUAGAGAAUGACAUGUGAUGGACAUUGUGAUGCCAGCAAGAGAUGCAACUACAGAUGCUGAUGCAGCAGAAGAAACCACACCACAGACACCUGAAGAACAGAGUGAUACUGAUGAAGAAGAAACACCCAAUAACCAAAGAGAGACUGUGAAUGGUGAACCCUCCAGAAGGAUUCACGAAAAUCAUCCAACCUCCCAAGUAAUAGGCAACGUAAGUGACAGCAUGACCACAAGAGGUAAACCACCGGUUGACUACCGGAAGAUGAUUUGCAUGUCUUCUAUCUGCAUGUCUCUACCAGGUUUUAUGUGCUUUGUGUCGAAACUUGAACCAAAGAAUGUUAAGGAGGCUUUACGUGAUGAGUUUUGGGUGUUAGCCAUGCAAGAUGAACUUAACCAGUUUGUUCGAAGUGAUGUUUGGUAUCUUGUGCCUAGACCUGCUGACAGGAAUGUGAUCGGCACAAAGUGGAUCUUCAAGAACAAAUCAGACGAGUGUGGGACGAUAGUGAGGAACAAGGCGAGACUUGUGGCGCAAGGUUACACCCAAGUCGAAGGUGUUGACUUCGAUGACACCUUUGCUCCAGUCGCCCGCAUCGAGUCAAUACGGCUGCUUCUUGCAAUUGCGUGCCAUCUCAACAUCAAGCUGUACCAAAUGGAUGUUAAAGGAGCCUUCCUCAACGGCAUCCUAAAGGAAGAGGUGUAUGUAGAGCAGCCGAAAGGUUUUGAAGAUCCACACAGACCACACCACGUCUACAGGCUAAAGAAGGCUCUCUACGGCCUUAAACAAGCCCCUCGAGCAUGGUAUGGACAUCUAACUUCCUUCUUACUUGAGUUUGGAUUUGUGAGAGGUUAUGCCGACAGGACAUUGUUUAUUAAAAGAGAAAGUAGUGAUAUUCUGAUCACUCAAAUCUAUGUUGAUGAUAUGAUUGUCGGUGCUACCUCACAACGUUUGUUAGAUGAUUUUGCAAGGGCCAUGACCACCACGUUCGAGAUGAGCAUGGUGGGUGAACUAACAUUCUUUUUAGGGAUCCAAGUCAAGCAAGAACCGGAAGGAAUUUUCAUCUCACAGGGGAAGUAUGCACGAGAUAUGGUGAAGAGGUUCAAUCUGGAAGGUGCAAAGCACAUGCGCACGCCAAUGGGAUCAAGCGACACUCUGUCGAAAGACAAUGCUGGGGAGGCAGUAGAUCCAACACUCUACAGAUCAAUGAUUGGGAGCCUCCUAUAUCUCACCGCAACACGACCUGAUAUCAUGUUCAGCGUGUGUGUUUGUGCCAGGUAUCAAGCUGAUCCUAAAGAGUCUCAUUUAAAAGCAGUAAAGCGUGUGAUAAGGUAUGUGGCUGGCACACUUGAUCUUGGCAUUUUCUUUUCCAAAGAUUCUAACACGAACCUUGUAGCUUUUAGCGACUCAGAUUGGGCAGGGGAUACUAAUGAUAGGAAAAGUACAAGUGGUGGGUGUUUUUAUCUUGGAAAUAACUUGGUGUCGUGGCAUAGUAGAAAGCAAAAUUGUGUGUCUCUCUCUACUGCAGAAUCCGAAUAUGUUGCUGCAGGUUGUUGUUGCUCUCAACUUCUUUGGUUGAGACAAAUGUUGUCAGAUUACGGUGUGACGAGUGAUGUGAUGGUGAUGUACUGCGACAACAUCAGUGCAAUAAACAUUUCAAAGAAUCCGGUCCAACACUCACGAACCAAGCACAUCGAUAUUCGACACCACUUUAUUCGCGAUUUAGUGGAACAAGAGGUAAUUAAGUUAGAGUAUGUUCCAACCGAGAACCAAAUUGCGGAUAUUUUUACUAAACCUUUGGAUUUUGAGAGAUUCACCAUGUUAAGAAGGUCUCUUGGCCUUUGCCUUCGAAACUAAUGAAAAAAAAAGGAAUGUUUGUUGCAUCAGUUUCAAAAGAAAUAUUCUUAGAUGCAACUGUUUUUUUUUCUGUGUGAUGCUCUAUGUUGUUUCACACGUUCUCUUCACUAACUCAGUUGUUGUAUAAUCAUAUUAAAGCACAGAAAAAGCCAAAGUAGUUUGGGGGGCACGGCGUUCGCUGCGACGAUGCUACCUUACAAAAUGGCCAUCCUCGAUUGCUUUCACAAAUUUAGACUAGGGGCACGGCGUUCGCUGCGACGAUGUUCUCUAUGUCAAUAAAAAUGAGUGAAUUUUACUUGGUGCUGUGCUUAUAAGUGCGAAAUAAAGUUUAACUGAGUUAUGUGUUAGGGGAUGUUGUUAUAACAGAAGGCAGAACAUUAGAUAAAAUAAUUCGGAAAAAUGGGAAGUUUGUUUUCAGUUCCGAUUUUCAUGGGAUUCUCUCUAUCCGCAGGUUCUGUAGUUUGUUCCGCAUAUCUUGUUCUUGAUUUGAACAUAUCUCUUUCUUAAUCUCCUUCUAACCCUAAUUUUCGAAUUUAAUGGUGAAGAUUUUCGAAAGAUUUGGUUUGUUGAGUUUUUGGCUUUGAUUUCUUUAGUAUUUAUUCUCUGCAUGCAAAUCAAAUCAUCACCAUUCUUCAUCAUUACACUGUGUUUUUCGAGAGAGACUCUUUGCUUCUUUGCCUUGACUUAGUCUUUUUGUGCUCUCAUAAUGUCUAACCCAAAUACUAUUGAGCUAUUAGACAGAUUCUUUCAAAUCCCCAAUUUCAAGCAGCCCUAGCCACCAUCUCAGUGCCGGAAAAUCAAGCUGUCCACCGUUGCCGUCCCUGCCUGCUCCGAUGACAACUCCAGAACAGCAAGCGGACAGCUCCACCACCGGUGUCUCAAACCCGGAAGUCCAAAAGCGGUGCUGAAUCCGGCGCCCAUUUCUACAAUCGAGCAUCUGCCGAUUCACCGGUCGAAAACCGGCGAAGCAAGGGGAACCUGAAAAACCCUCGAAUAAACGCAAGAAGAAGGGGGCCGAAACUUCUAGGCCCAAGCUCAAGGCGGUACGGAGGUCAAAUCGAAUCCCCACUCAACCUAGGGUUUCAAAACCCGGACCCCCGAAGAUGGUGUUACUCGACGAAUCAGAAGACGACGUACCUCCAGCCAAGCAAGCACGGACGUCUGGGCCGACGGUAGAAACCUCCACUGCUGAUGAAGAAUCUGCUGCUCCAACAGAGGAGACCGCAGAACCCACAGCCCCUUCUCCGGUGCAAUCCUUGAUACUCUGCUCACGAGGCUGAAGCAGAGGUGCAGCGAGAAUCCUUCUGACGACGACACACUUCUCACUGAGGUGUUAACAAAGCUCAAGCGAAAAGCCAUUCGUGAAGGAAAAAGGAAGGCUACCACCUCGGCUGUGCCCCCAACACCGAGGCCACAGAGUCGGAGGAUGAAGACAUGGACGUCGAAGACGAGAGCCCGAAGGUCAGACAUGGAGGCCAACAAAGCUUACCAGCCCUUCUUCUACACUGCGGAUGCGGCAAAGUCUUGGCAAAAUGUCAAGAAGAUGGAGUGUUACAGUGAGCGGAACAUCGAGCAAGACUCAUUUAAAGUGCUCAAUCUGGUGGAAUUCUUCAAAUCUCGCCAUCUGUUCAAAUCCGUGACGGAGGUAGAGCCGUUUGUUAAAGCAGUGGUGCAGCUGGUUUAUAGCAACUUGACAGCCGAUUUCGGAAACCCAAAGUCCAGGAAGUACGGGAGAGCUUUUUACAGGAACACGGUCUUUAAUUUGACGCCCUCGGUCAUCAAUGGAAUUCUUGGCACGCCUGAUGUGAAGCCCACAGCAGUAAAGAACAUGGACAAAGUGGCCUCAGUCAUCACUGGUGGGAAAGUGCGGAAAUGGUUAAAGCCAAUGAAAUCAUCCACCUUGUCCUAUCUGUAUUCUGCCUUGUUCAAGAUCAUGACCAUGAACUGGAUUGUGUCAACCAACUCCACCGUGGUUACACAACAGCAUGGCAUACUUCUCUAUUGCAUUGGAGAAGGAUUGCCAUUUAAUCUAGGUCAGGUUAUCUUUGAUCAAAUUGCCGCUUCUUCUCAAUUGUCGGGGUUGCCGUUCCCCUCUUUAAUUUUCAGGGCACUUCGGAGUCAAGGUGUACAGGUGAAAGCGUCUGCCAAAAGGGAGGUCAUUCAUGAGUAUGCUCUUACGAGCAUGCUCUUUAGUGAGGGCAAAGUUGCUGAUCUGCCCUGGGUUAAUCCAGUUGCUGCUCCCUCUGUUGAGGACACUACCAUGAUCACAAUCCCUAAGGCAACAUUGCAGGCCCUGUUGCAGCAUAUCGACGAAUUGGAGAACAGCCUUCUGCAAGCCCGAAGAAUUCAGGGGGAGUCAUCGUCAAUCCUGAAUCAAGCCAAAGGACAGUUAACUGCCCUCCUUUCUUCCCAAAAAGGGGGAGAAGAUGCUGCUGAGGGAACAGGAGAGUAAAGUCAGGGGGAUUUGCAGGGGGAGAUCACAUCAAGGGGGAGAAGUAUGUGUGUUGGUUUUGUGAAGAAAGGCAAAAAGGGGGAGUUUGUUAGUCUUGAAUAAGUAUGUUUUGCUCUUUCUUCAUUGUGUGUUUUUAGGUGGUUGGACCGAGUCAAGAAAUGAUGGAAGACGUGAAGGAUGAAGGAGGAAAAGAAGGAACAAAUUCUGUUGAGAAAAGGAAGGAACAAGUGGAGAUAAAGAGAGAGAGAAAGGAGCGUGUGGCAGCUCCUAAAAUCAAGGAAGAAGUGGACUAAAUCCAACAACUAUCAAACGGCCACUUCAUCCAUGAUCCAAGCCACGACUUCAAGCCUUGGGAAGCAAGAUUGAGAUGCCUAUAUAUACCAAGGAGAAGUCCCAGUUCAGAUCACGAACUUUGAGAGAAGAUAUCUAGCUUUUGAGUGAUCUGUUUAGGAGUGCUGUUUCUCGUGUUGGGAUAACAUUGGUUAUAGCAUUCUGUGUUUUGUUGGAUUUCGGAGUAUAGCUCUUGAAUCCAGUUUAGUUUGUUAGUGAGAGUGUAUGGUGUUCAAUACCUAGUCCUUUGUAAAGGUAUUGAACGUGAGUGUCAUUCUCCGUUUAGUAAUUUCGCCAUAAGGCAUUCUUCAAGUUAUUUAU